ncrna:Eptesicus fuscus (big brown bat) microRNA efu-mir-9198b precursor (efu-mir-9198b-2)
GCCGCUGCUCGCACCUGCUGCUGGCGCCUGGUGCUGGUCCCGAUCGCUUGGUGCUGUCAGUGGGUGCGAGCGGCAGUUG